rnacentral:rRNA from 1 species
GAUGAACGCUGGCGGCGUGCUUAACACAUGCAAGUCGAACGGAAAGGCCCAAGCUUGCUUGGGUACUCGAGUGGCGAACGGGUGAGUAACACGUGGGUGAUCUGCCCUUCACUUCGGGAUAAGCCUGGGAAACUGGGUCUAAUACCGGAUAGGACCACGUCUUGGAUGUUGUGGUGGAAAGUUUUUUCGGUGUGGGAUGAGCUCGCGGCCUAUCAGCUUGUUGGUGGGGUAAUGGCCUACCAAGGCGUCGACGGGUAGCCGGCCUGAGAGGGUGUACGGCCACAUUGGGACUGAGAUACGGCCCAGACUCCUACGGGAGGCAGCAGUGGGGAAUAUUGCACAAUGGGCGCAAGCCUGAUGCAGCGACGCCGCGUGGGGGAUGACGGCCUUCGGGUUGUAAACUCCUUUCGCUAGGGAAGAAGCGUUUUUGUGACGGUACCUGGAGAAGAAGCACCGGCUAACUACGUG